UAUGAUUACUAGUAUCCAUCAUUUUAUUUGACAACUUUUCUCUUGAAUGGUUUAUCUUACGCGCUGGUAUUUGUUGCACAUGCAGAUUGACAGUGUUCAUCAAGAUGUUCGUGUGGUUUUCAAAGAUGGAGACGCAGUUGGUGCGAAAAUCAUAGUACAUUGAACAAGGUACAAGUAUGAUUUCCCAUUCCUUGAAACAAAUGGGGAAGUAAGUGUAGAUGACAACUGUGUAAGACCAUUGUAGAAGCAUGUUUUUCCACCAGCAUUGGCCCCAUUGGGUUGCCUUGGAAGGUUGUUCCCUUCCCCAUGUUCAAACUGCAGACCAAAUGGAUAGCAGGAGCUUUGUCAAAUCGCCUUGCACUUCCUUCCAAAGAAGAAAUGACUCAAGAUCCUGAGACCUGAAGCAUUCUACUCUUCACUUGAAGCUUCUGGCACUUCUAAGCGUUACACUGAUAAUAUGGCCAAUUACCAAGUGCUUUCUAAAGUUAAAACUUAAAAGCGAUGAAUGUUUUUAGCUUGUCUCAAAUCAUAUACUUGCUUCCCCAAUUCAUAGUAACAGUUGUCUUUUUAUUUUCUAUUGCAUUUAAAAUUCAAUGGACUCGUAACCAAUUCUAUUUUAAUGAUAAUGAUUAAAUACAUCAAAACGAAAAUAUUGUGAACCGGAAAGAAUAUAUAUUAGCAAGACUUAUAUUGUGCGUUUGGGAUUAUAUAUGGUAAUGACUGUGGGAAUACGAUAACUGGAUUGCUAAUCAGUCUAGGAUUCGUGGUGUUGAAGAAUGGAGGAUGGAAAUGUACAAGUUUGCAUCUAAGAACAAGAGGCUGCAACCUGAGUCAUACCCUGACGAGUGUGAUGACGAUGAAUUGGUUCUAGAAGCUCAACAAGAUUUUUCUAAGUAUUUGAACUGAUAUUGUGACAAGUCAACUGAGAAGUCUCAAGCUGAGCUGUAUUGCCAUAUGCUCUGAUCUCAAUGCCAGAGUUAUACAAUUACAACACGGUUGAGUGAAUUAGCACAUGAAAGUAAUAAGUUAGGCAUACACGAAAACAUAAAUAGUUGUUUCAUUCACUAAUAAAAUUGAUGAUGUUCAGAUUACUUGUUUCUAUAAAUGUUUUCUUUUCAGUUGAUGGUAAUUCGCUUUGGCAAUGCUUCAAUCACGACUUGAAUUCGGUGAAACAUGUACAGUGUUUUUGUCAACCCUAAAUUUAACACUACCAGUUAUAUAUGGAUGUAUUAGCUCUAAAUAAUUUGGUUCUUGCCGUACUUUGGAGCCAUGCCGGUCCAAAAUCAAAACCAAUCAACUACAAAAAUACUGGUGUGCGAAGACAACAAAUAAGACUACCUUUUUAAUUUUUUCUCAGAUGAGUUCCUCCUAGCUUUCUUAAUCGAUCCUUCUUCUGUGAAGAGAUUGCUAUAUUUCUUCAGUACCCUCUCUUUCUCUUGAUGUAAGCCCAACAUCUCGUAUGCAUU